ensembl:lncRNA
CCCCCCCCCCCUCCCCCAUCCCCUCCAUCUGUCCUCCCCCAUCCCCUCCAUCCACCUCUCCCCGUUUAGCUUCUUUUUCUUCUUGCUCAAACCUUCGAUCCCUCCUGGUGCAGCCGGCCGUAGAUAAGUGAGUGUGGCUGGUUGCUGUGUCUUUGUGCAUCACUGCUUUAGACUAACAACCCCCCCCCCCCACACACACACACAGAAAAACGCACAAAUUGGAAAGAUUAAAUAAUUUUUGGAGAGGCAUACCAGAUGUUCCAAGCUUCACAUUCAUCCAGCAACAUCCUCUUCAUUUUCCUCCCUUGUCUCCUUCCCUCCCCCGUUUCCUCACUCAUCUGGCCUUUUAUUCAUUUUCUCCUUUCUGUAGAACCUCCUCUCUUCCCUCUUCCAUCCUUUUAUCAAUCUGCCAUUGGUGUUUUAAAACCUUCUUUCUAUUUGGUCUUCAUUGUGACGCUUGCAUCCUCCACUUCUUCCUCCCUUUACUGUCGAUGCUUUUCUAUGUUCUCACGCUCUGGAGCCCGUUGGCUAAAAACACUAGCUUUUAUUUUGCUAUUGAAAGCAUAUUCACAUUCAAUUAUUUCUUAAUAGUUGUGGGUGUGACAGAUUUCGUUGCGUUUUGUGAUCUCCAUCCUUCCUGCAGCAGUUCCCACUCCCUUCGUGUAAAUCUGUUCCUAUAUAUCUAUCAUUCAUCUUCUUUCAGGAUCAAAAUGACUCACAAAAUCUUUUUCACAUCAUUUAUUUCGGGCUUGCUUUGAUUCCAUGUCCUUUUUUAUAAACCAUCUGCAUACCCAUUCACACACCCUCCUACUCUUUUUAUCUCAUAUCCUCUUGGGACAUCAUUUCUUGCUUUCCUUUCCUUAAAACACCCCCCCCCCCCCCCCCCUGUCAUUCUCUCUAGGAGUCCUAUUGAUUCUCUAAUGAGAUCCUCAGAUGUUCCCCCACCACGAUAAGCAAAUUAUACGUCUCCCACAUAACUCAUGCACACAAAUAAAUCAAUGGAAAACAGAUGUGAGACAGAGAAAUGAUCAGGAAAUGGAGAAGGAAGGGGGGUUGCACAUUUAUUCAUUUUUUUACUUCUUGGUUUUCUAAGCGGAGGUUCUGCUUUAUGAUGGCACCCGUCCAUUACAUCACGGUGCUUACAUGGUGCUUUAUGGCAGUGACUUCAGCAGAAGCAAUAUUUUAUUUAUUAUGUCUAUUAUAUCAGUUCAAGUUGGAAAAAUAAAUAAAUCGACACUAGUUUUGUCUCAUCUGAUCUCACUUGGGUGUCCUUGCAUUUCCAGUGCAACUCCCUCUAACCUCCAACGUUUGAAUCCUCCACACUUUCUUCUUCCGUCCAGCCAAAUCUGCUGCUCCAUCUACCCCCGGUACCCUCCCCAAACCCCCCCCCCCCCACACCCACACCCACAGCCAACCUCUGCCCAUUCAUCCAGGUAUCGAUCGAGCUGUCAAUGAUAUGCCACGUUGAUUGACAGCUGCUAAUUGGCUUAAUCCCACCCCCGGGGGCAUGUUGGCUGUGUGGCUGAUCUGGAAACAGCUGUCCCUAUUGUCCCAACAGCUGACACCGUGACCCUCGGGGAGCCGGUGAAGGGGGACAGAAGGAGAUAUGAGACGGAGAGACGGCAUCUUAUUUUCAGUGGAACAAACAUUGACACACAUUAUCAAGUUAAGUUUCCUCCUCGUUGGCGCUCCACGCGAAUGCCUGAGUGCACGUUGCGGCAUCAAGCUCUUGUGCAGAUGUUUACUGUAUUUUUGGCUGCUAAGCAGAUUGGAAAGGAAGCACACGGUGCGUUUUUUUCUGGGACGUGGCGUCCGACUCGUCAAAGUAGGAGGAGGGGCUACUGAGGGGGAGACAUAUGUCAGAGUCCCACAGACGGAGACCUCUGCACCACCAACAGCGGGUUUUCAUCAAGUGCUUUGACAGACGCAUCUGGCUCUGAGGUCAGCGCCUCUUUCGCCCGCAGUAUAUCCGUGCAUCAGCAGCCGCGCGCCCAGUCAAGAGUGUCCUUGAGCGAGACAGCGAGUCGCCGAGGUUGAGCUAGAAAGAGGGAGGACGAUAGAGAGGGGGAGAAAGAGAGAGACAGACGGUCACCCAGGAGACGAAGGAAGUAGACCCAGAUUAGCUUUGCUCUAUUGAGGAGGCAAGGGGCAGAACACAAGGUCUGGGUGGACGCCGCUAAGCCUUUAAAGACCCCCCUUCAGCCUGGGAUGUACCCCCCUCCCCCCCCUCGCCCCAUCCAUUUAUCCAGCAAGUGACACACACCGUUUACAUUCGCACACUAGCCCACGGAGACCUUACUGAACAUAAAGGCAGGCCGAUGAAGUCAUUAAGUGGCUUUACAGCUUCAUUUUAAUUUAAUUAGUUUUACGUAUAAUGAUGUGCAAUGAUUACAAAGCAACAUGUGCAUUGUGCAACGCUUCAUUCCUUUGAGUAAAGGACCCCUGGAUUGCGCAUAUGUUCAAUGUUGGACAGCUUGACACGGGAUGAAGUGUAUAUUUGAGGGAUUAAAACAAUAAAGACAAUUGACUCGUCCGUGUGCUUGUACAGAGAGCGAUAGUGUGCUUGGAUUAGUCCAAUACACCAAUACAACACACACCACCAGUAGAUGCCUAAAGGGCCUCAGCAUGGUAUUGAUCCAUAUAUGGAUCUCGCUGUGUUUAGCCUGUAAAUAAUAUCGACGAUUUUAAUCAAAAGUCUUAACAACCUUUGACCUCAGCAAUGAAUCUCAAGAAGCAACCGUUGUUCUCGUUUUCUUUUCUCCGAGGGUUGAUGACUAGUUUGGAAAUGAGCUGAUGAAUGACUCCCGGUCAGUGGAGGGGAACAGGGGGGGGGAGGGGGGGGGCAAUUGAUCAGCAAUGCUGCGGAUCAUUACACCUCCCGUGCAUGUGUAAUGAUCCCAGUUAUCUCUCAAAAUCGCCCCCCUCACCCGAAGAGCCCCAACGAGCGUUUGAGUCAAUGACAGACUGGAGGACACUGGGGUCAUUGUGCCGAAACAUCUCAUUUCCCUCCCCGCUCCACGGAUACCUCAUAAGAACCCCCCUCUUUCAGCCCCACUCGGUUGUUGAAGCCAGACGCCCCCCCCCUCCCUCCCUCCUUCCCUUCCUUCUUCCUCCAGGUUGACACAGAGAGCCCUUUGUUGUCCCGAGCUGCAAUCACAUACCUCAAUGAGUUCGCACUGUUGCCCCUCAAGCUUCCCUCCGACCAAGGAGCCACGUGCCAAACCUGAGGUUCAUCCAGCAGCUCGUGUGGAUGCACCUCCGCUUCCCCCCGAACCGAUGCAUGUCGGUUCACGGACGAGCACCUGGAAAAAGCCACGCGACCGCUUCUCCUUUUUUUUUUUUUUUUUUUUUUACAUUCGAUUAAACAUGCUUGAAGUUUGGAGGUCCGUUGGAUCUGUGAGUGCCUGCAGCACGGAACGACACAAUGGCAUGAAAUGUACACGGCGCGGUUGAGGGAUAAUGUAUCUGGAGCCGUUCCUGCCCACUCAGUGCAAGUCGCUUGGAAUAAGUGCACCAGACAAAAACAGUAUCUGAAGGGUGAACGCCAAUGGAAAUCCUCACAAACGAGAGGCGUUUUUCUCGCCUCCAAAUGUCACCGGGAUGCUUCUUUGAUAUGUAUUUCUUUUCAUCUGGGGAGUGAAACCUGAUGACACGCAGCUCUUAUUGCUCUAAUCUGCUCGUGCAGAUAUUUGCAUUGCUUCGCUGAAUAAAAUAUCAGCGCGCUGCGCGAAUAAAACGUCACGACUGUUUUCCUGUUAGGAAAGAAAAGGUCAGAACAGCUGUCUAGAGCCGCGGCGCUGUAGGCCUGCUCUACACACACAAACGCACACCGCUUGUGCUGUGAUUACAACUUUUAAGGACUGAUCCACACUGUGCCCCGCUCCCCCCAUCCCUCCACCCUAAACUCCACCUAAAGCUUCAUGGAACUAAAGAACAGCUAAAACGUUGUCUGCUCUUUCCAGCUCUUUCUGUGGUUCUGGAAACAUCUGGUUCAGAUGAAUAUAAGCGCACAAGGCGACACGCAUGCAAACACACGCACACACACACACACACACACACACACACACACACACAGCUGCAGACCCUUGAGUGAACUCGCAGUCUCACCUUACGGCGACAGUGACACAAGCAGAAAGACGGCCUGGAGCUACCUCUGUCCGUUGCUCUGGUGAUGCUCGGGUGCACAUACACACAUUUACGGUUCGUGCACGCACACACAUACGCACUACACGUCGACCUUGCAUGCUCAGCUUUAGCACCAGUGUGUGAAAACACAUUUGGGGGCACAUUGGAGUGACACACAGACACACACACGGUGACCUUGUUUGUUCAACCUUGUCAGUAGAAUAUAAACAGUGUUGCAGUGUUGGUGACACUCGCUUUCAUAACAGCAAAAUAAAAAAUAAACAGGCUGGCGACAAAUUUGAUGUCACUCCACAUAAAACACAGAGAACACGUAUGUUGUGUGAAAGUAGCUCCAAGCAGCUGCUGCUUUAGUCAAUUAGCGGAUUGAACGUCAACACCCUCGCUAGUCGUCACCAGAAAUACGCCUCAGUUCUUAAAAGUCUUUAAUGUCGCCUGGAUCUCUCGGCCCUGAGCAGCGCACCAAGCCGGCUUACUAGCUAGCUGUGCUAUGCUACGCUAUGCUAUGCUACGGACUAAAGCUAGCGAUCCUGUAAAUAUAGUGUGGGCGGGUUAUUGUCAUCAUAAAUGAUCCAACGUGCACUCUGUCACAUCCCUUUAUUGGACAAUGAAAGAAGCUUCGUGGCAUAUUGGGCUUUAAAAGCAACAUCUACUCGUCUCGCUGUAGAGAACCAGAGCGGCUUCAUUAGGACAAUAACAAUUUGACCCGUUGGGCGUCUCACUGGGAAAGGUCGGCGCUUUCAACCCAACGAGACGGUGACGGCCGGAGAAAAAGGCGAGCAGGGAGGUUUAGUAUUUAGGAGAGAGCCGAUGAUGCGUGACAAAAAGAGGGAGGCUUCUUUAUGUCGUGGUCAACGUUUACAGACAAGCGCCAAUAAAGUGAAAAUGAUUACUGCUCAAUGGAGAGGCGGCGGGGCGCAUUCGAUCACAUUACACCAGUAAGAGUCUCACAGUCAAUGAAGCACGGCCACGGAGGGAGAGCGAACGGGGGGAAGGACGCUGAGGGGGAGGAAGGACGCUGAGGGGGAGUGCGGGGGCCGGCGAGCGAGAGGAAAAGGAAAAUCAAGGAACGCAUACAGGGAAAGCAACGGAGGGAGGCCGCCGUUAUUAUGGUAAAGAGGUCAACCUUGCACUAAAGCUCGGUCAUGGAGAAAGGAAAACAUGGUGCGUGUGUGCGUGCGUGUGUGUGUGUGUGUGUGUGUGUGUGUGUGUGAGCCUUAUCUCCAUUUCUCUCCUGCGUGUGCACAUUGGUCAUUUGCCACAGAAGUGUGCACGCCUGUAUGUGUGUUGAGGACAAAGACGGCGGUUACAUAACAGGCGCAGUGGGAGGAGCUUAUAGUAAACUAUAAAUAUGUCCUGGGAUUUUGGCUAAAUUGAGAAAACGUUAAAUUGAGUCACGAUGCCAGAAAGCUGCGCCGGCGUGCACACACACACACACACACACAGAGAAACACACACACACACACACACACACACACACACACACAGAAACGCGAGUGUGUGUGUUUGUGUGUAACUAAGGAGCCUCGUCUCAUGUUCGAUCAGGUAAAUCUCAUUUGCUUUAAACGCAUAUGAAUUGUGGGUAAAAAAAAAUCCCAUUAUCUAUCUAACGCCCACAAACACAGAAUGAAUGGGAGCCCCCCCCCACACCCACACACUCAGAAUGUCAAACCGAGCUUGCCGCCAGCAGACAGAAGUUUUUUGCCGUUUUUGUGAGAUUUCUCAAAAAUAACGCGACCGCCAAAAUGACUUUGACGCUAAAUUGGCGCAAAAUGUUCUCGGCCUCCAAAAAACCACCCGAAGCCACUUAAAGAAUCCGCUGGCUGGAGACUCUGCGUCUCUCACAAUGGGGAGCUAAAUAAAUAAUGUGGUUAGACAGAAAUGCGGAGACGGUAAACAGGCAUAUUGGGCCAUUUAUUUCCAGCGCCUUACCAGCAGGCGCCAGACAUUUAUUAUUAUUAUUAUUUUGUAGUUUUCUGCUUCUUGUCUCCCCGGGUAACUUCACUUCCUGCCUUGUCCUGUCUUCCCCUGUGAUUGUCUGAUUGGUUCCACCUGUGUCCAAUCACCUGCACCUCCCUGGUGUAUUUAAGCCGUGUGUGUCUCUUGUUACUGGUGGCGUCAUUGUCGAUUGUCCUGGAUGUUCCUGCCUGCCGUUUUUUCCCCUGGUUCCUGUGUGUGUUUUUGCCCCUUGGCCUUUUUGACUUUGGUAUAUUGACUAUUAAAGUCUUUUUGUUUGAAAGUCUGCGUGUGAGUCCUGCCUUCCCCGUAACCCUGACACAUCUGUGUGAACCUGCUGUUAUUCAGAUGAGUGUGUGUGUGUGUGUGUGUGUGUGUGUGUGUGUGUGUGUGUGUGUGUGUGUGUGUGUGUGUGUGUGUGUGUGUGUGUGUGUGUGUGUCUGUCUGUGCACGUGGCAGGUUGAUCAGCUUCAGUUUCUUUCAUAAAAUAUAUAAUACAUUAUGUUCACAGGUGGUUCAGAAAUCAAACACUGACGUGGAAUGCACACACAUAAAACACACACACACACACACACACACACACACACACACACACACACUGUUGGUUGUUCGCGACUGUGCAAAAGAGUUCACCUUUACAAAUGUGUUCCAUCAGCAAAAUUAACUGGCUAUAAUCAACAUAACCAAGUUAAAUAUGGUAAUCGACAACACAAGUACACACCCUAAUCUGUGUAUGUGUGUGUGUGUGUGUGUGCGCGUUGUCCACACAGCGGCAGGCUUAGCGGAGUUAAAAGAUGGAGGAAGAUGGAAGGGUGGGGGUGAGAGAGGGAGAGAUGGAUUGGAAGAGUUGAGUUGAUGUAAAAUAAUCAUUCAAAGAGCAUUUUGAGGACGUCGCUUUAAGCUCUGUGAAGUUGUGAUGGAUGUGCUUUGUGUUCUCUCUCCUGCACGGAAUGACUGAAUGAGACAUCUCAUGAAUCAAUAAUCAUAUAAAAUGGGAUGAGAGGGGGGGUGGGGGGGGGACGACCACAUCACUGGUGGCUCACACACACACACACACACACACACAGAGUUAAUUAUUAUGGGGAAUAAUGAGAAGCACGACUCAUUAAAUCUCUCCUUGACCCGUGAGCAGACACCGGCCUUCUUCUUCACUGACUCUACUGAGCAACCAGAGUCUGUCGGAGCGGAAGCUUCUCCACCGUCAAUUAUUAAUUGUUUUUAAAACAGACGCACCUCUGAAAAUCCAGCGACCGUAAUUUGGAGCGAUUUAACAGACGAGGAGAGGGAAGGCUCCUGAGUCUGGUACGUGAGAGGAAGUCUGACCUUCUCUCCUGCAGAACGCCGCCACAGCGCAGACAACAAGCAACAAGCUUCUCCUGCUCCCGUGUGACCGCCGUCAUGAGACCAGAAAACCGUCUGACUGCCACAGGAAACACGCCACACUGGAUCACGCGCGCACACGCCAGUCUACACUGCACACUGCCGUGCGCUUGUAGAAGGUAAAGGUACCGCGCAGACACACACACACACACACACACACCAGCGGUGCUCAGAUCAAUAUGGCCGUCCAUCUGCUGUAAUCAAUUGUCAUUCCGAUCGGAUCGACGGCGCCGCGCUCACAUCAUCGAGGGUCCAAUCCACGGAAUUGCUCGUUAGUCCUGAAUUGGCAUCGACCCGAGCUCCUCCUCCUCGUGGUCUCCAGGCGGCCCGCGCCGCUCCCCUCUGAGCGUGGGUAUGUGUGGGGCCGGAGGUCAAAGGUCAGGCUAACCGAAGAGCAGUAAAAGAACCGGCGUUAACGUCGGCGAGCUGAGGCGUGACCCCCCCGCGGGCGGCUUCGAGAUGAACGGCGAGCUGCAUCGAGUCCCAGGAAUGUGGAGCGCAGGCGGACUAAGUGAAUCCACAUGAGCCCCGAGAGAGAGAGAGUCCGCGUAAACCACAGAGGACCACCUGCGCCCCACAAGCAGCAGAAGACCCCCCUCAAUCGACGCAAACAAAUGAGCCACUGUCCUUCUGUCUCCCAGGUGGGCAAGUUAAGACAUUAGAGGUCAGAAACCGGAACAACCGACUCCGUCAUUUAAUCUAUCUGAGGCCGGAGAUUAGAGAUAUAAUCCCAUCAGGCCGCCGUGGGAUACGUAGAAUCAGCGUGUCAUCUACCUCUGAGCAGGAGACACGCGCACACGGACGUGAAAUCAAUGAGUCACAGGGACGUUUAGGAAAAACCGGCAAGCAAGUAAGACGCGUAACGCGGACACGAGCAACAACGGCGCUAACGUGGCUUCCAGCUAGCGACGAGCUUUAAAGAGCCGUCCUCUCCCAUUACACUUCAUUGUGUAACACGCGUCGUGUUACAUUCAUUCAUUGUGUUACAUUCAUUCAUGGUGUUACAUUCAUUCGCGAACACGGGCAGCAACGAAAGAAGAAGAAAGAACACCCCCCCCCCCACCCCC